rnacentral:lncRNA from 1 species
GGGUUAAGAUAAACACCGUUAUAGCACUGAGUCACAAUCUUGCACACAGCAAAAUAUGCAGAUGCAGCUGUAGAUCCUCCAUUUUUAUCUCAUGAUACAGGAGACACGAUUAGCCCACUAAUACAAAAGAUGGCCUAUAAUUAAAGUCACGGCAUUGGACUCUAUAGGAAUAAAG